rnacentral:rRNA from 1 species
CAUGGAGGGUGAGAAUCCCGUACGGCCAUCAUUGCUCGUGUACGAUACGUUUUCAAAGAGUCAAGUUGUUUGAGAUUGCAGCUUAAAAUGGGAGGUAAAUUUCUCCUAAGGCUAAAUAUUGGCGAGAGACCGAUAGCGAACAAGUACCGUGGGGGAAAGAUGAAAAGAACUUUGAAAAGAGAGUUAAAAAGUACGUGAAAUUGUUGAAAGGGAAACGAUUGAAGUCAGUCGUACCGACGAGAAAUCAACUCAUCGAAUGGGUAAUUGCGGGCGUAUGAGAGCCUCAUUGUUUGCGAAUGCAUGUUCUUUGGGUGUACUUUUUCGUAUGGUAGGUCAACAUCGAUUUUGAUCGUCAUAAAAUGAUCGGAGGAAUGUAGCUUUGAUUUCGAUCGAAGUGUUAUAGCCUUUGGUAGAUGUGACGAUUGGGAUCGAGGAUUGCAACGAAUACCCUUUGGGCUAUCCGUCUGGCCUCUGAAAGUCGCUUGGGAGUCGAAAGCUUGCUUAUGACUGUUCAAGUUGGCGGUCAACAGGUUAGAACGUGAUUACAUUCGUUAAGGAUGUUGACGUAAUG